AGUGAACGCUGGCGGUAGGCCUAACACAUGCAAGUCGAACGGCAGCACAGUAAGAGCUUGCUCUUACGGGUGGCGAGUGGCGGACGGGUGAGGAAUACAUCGGAAUCUACUUUUUCGUGGGGGAUAACGUAGGGAAACUUACGCUAAUACCGCAUACGACCUACGGGUGAAAGCAGGGGAUCUUCGGACCUUGCGCGAUUGAAUGAGCCGAUGUCGGAUUAGCUAGUUGGCGGGGGAAAGGCCCACCAAGGCGACGAUCCGUAGCUGGUCUGAGAGGAUGAUCGGCCACACUGGAACUGAGACACGGUCCAGACUCCUACGGGAGGCAGCAGUGGGGAAUAUUGGACAAUGGGCGCAAGCCUGAUCCAGCCAUACCGCGUGGGUGAAGAAGGCCUUCGGGUUGUAAAGCCCUUUUGUUGGGAAAGAAAAGCAGCAGGUUAAUACCCCGCUGUUCUGACGGUACCCAAACAAUAAGCACCGGCUAACUUCGUG
rnacentral:rRNA from 1 species